rnacentral:rRNA from 1 species
CCCUUAGAGUUUGAUCCUGGCUCAGGACGAACGCUGGCGGCGUGCCUAAUACAUGCAAGUCGAGCGCGGGAAGCAAGCGGAAGCCUUCGGGCGGAAGCUUGUGGAACGAGCGGCGGACGGGUGAGUAACACGUGGGCAACCGGCCUGUAAGAUUGGGAUAACUCCGGGAAACCGGGGCUAAUACCGAAUGAAGCGCGUCAUCGCAUGAUGACGUGAUGAAAGGCGGCUUUUAGCUGUCACUUACAGAUGGGCCCGCGGCGCAUUAGCUAGUUGGUGGGGUAAGAGCUUACCAAGGCGACGAUGCGUAGCCGACCUGAGAGGGUGAUCGGCCACACUGGGACUGAGACACGGCCCAGACUCCUACGGGAGGCAGCAGUAGGGAAUCAUCCGCAAUGGACGAAAGUCUGACGGUGCAACGCCGCGUGAGUGAUGAAGGUUUUCGGAUCGUAAAACUCUGUUGUCAGGGAAGAACAAGUACCGUUUGAAUAAGGCGGUACCGUGACGGUACCUGACCAGAAAGCCCCGGCUAACUACGUGCCAGCAGCCGCGGUAAUACGUAGGGGGCAAGCGUUGUCCGGAAUUAUUGGGCGUAAAGCGCUCGCAGGCGGUCUUUUAAGUCUGAUGUGAAAUCUCGCGGCUCAACCGCGAAUGGUCAUUGGAAACUGGAGGACUUGAGUACAGAAGAGGAGAGUGGAAUUCCACGUGUAGCGGUGAAAUGCGUAGAGAUGUGGAGGAACACCAGUGGCGAAGCGACUCUCUGGCCUGUAACUGACGCUGAGAGCGAAAGCGUGGGGAGCGAACAGAUAGAUACCCUGGUAGUCCACGCCGUAACGAUGAGUGCUAGGUGUU